GUGCUUGCUUCGGCAGCACAUAUACUAAAGUUGGAAUGAUCCAAAGAAGAUUAGCAUGGUCUCCACACAAGGAUGACAUGUAAAUUUGUGAAGCAUUCCUUAUUUAA